GAUGAACGCUGGCGGCGUGCCUAAUACAUGCAAGUCGAGCGAACAGAUGAGGAGCUUGCUCCUCUGACGUUAGCGGCGGACGGGUGAGUAACACGUGGAUAACCUACCUAUAAGACUGGGAUAACUUCGGGAAACCGGAGCUAAUACCGGAUAAUAUAUUGAACCGCAUGGUUCAAUAGUGAAAGACGGUUUUGCUGUCACUUAUAGAUGUAUCCGCGCCGCAUUAGCUAGUUUGUAAGGUAACGGCUUACCAAGGCAACGAUGCGUAGCCGAACUGAGAGGGUGAUCGGCCACACUGGAACUGAGACACGGUCCAGACUCCUACGGGAGGCAGCAGUAGGGAAUCUUCCGCAAAGGGCGAAAGCCUGACGGAGCAACGCCGCGUGAGUGAUGAAGGUCUUCGGAUCGUAAAACUCUGUUAUUAGGGAUGAACAAAUGUGUAAGUAACUAUGCACGUCUUGACGGUACCUAAUCAGAAAGCCACGGCUAACUACGUG
rnacentral:rRNA from 1 species